rnacentral:rRNA from 1 species
AUGGGAACGCGAAGAACCUUACCUACUCUUGACAUCCAGAGAACUUAGCAGAGAUGCUUUGGUGCCUUCGGGAACUCUGAGACAGGUGCUGCAUGGCUGUCGUCAGCUCGUGUUGUGAAAUGUUGGGUUAAGUCCCGCAACGAGCGCAACCCUUAUCCUUUGUUGCCAGCGAUUCGGUCGGGAACUCAAAGGAGACUGCCAGUGAUAAACUGGAGGAAGGUGGGGAUGACGUCAAGUCAUCAUGGCCCUUACGAGUAGGGCUACACACGUGCUACAAUGGCAUAUACAAAGAGAAGCGACCUCGCGAGAGCAAGCGGACCUCAUAAAGUAUGUCGUAGUCCGGAUUGGAGUCUGCAACUCGACUCCAUGAAGUCGGAAUCGCUAGUAAUCGUAGAUCAGAAUGCUACGGUGAAUACGUUCCCGGGUCUUGUACACACCG